rnacentral:lncRNA from 10 species
UUUAAGUGGUGACUAAGCCCUGAGGGCUUCUCCUUCAUGAAUGGGAUUAAAGAUCUUAUAAGAGACUUCAUGUAGCCUUUGGCUCUCUUGCUCUUCUGCCUAGUGCUAUAUAAGGAUAGAGCUUUUCUCUCCUUCAGAGGACAUAGAAAGAUGCAAUCUUGGAAACAGAAAAUGCCCCUCACCACAUAACUGAGCCUACCAGCACCUUGAUUUUGGAUCUCCCAGCCUCCAAAAUGAGACACGGUCUCGUCCUGUUGUCCAGGCUAAAGUGCAAUGUGGGAUCAUGGCUCACUGCAGAGCCAACCUCCUGGGAUCAAGAAAUCCUCCCACCUCAGCCUGCUGAGUAGCUGAAGCUGGAACCACAGGUAUACGUCACACACCUGGAUAAUUUCCUUCUUCUUUUUUUUUUUUUUUUGUAGAAAUGGGGUUUCAUUAUGGUGCCCUGGCUGGUCUUGAACUCCUGGCCUCAAGCAAUGCUCUCACCUCAGCCUCCCACAGUGCUGGAAUUAUAGGUGUGAACAACUGUACCCAGCUAACUUACACUUAAUUUUUUUUAUUUAAUGAAGUUUUAUUACAAUUAGUAAUAAAAUAAACUAAUGCUUACUGUAAACUUUUUACAACUUGUUAUCUCACAUUUUAGGUAAUAAUAAUACCAAAGACACAUAACAAUGAACAAAAAUCUGAGUAUACCUUUGCGUUACUUGAGCUUAGCUCCCUCCAAACUCACCAGAAUAUAUUUUAAAAUAGAAAAUCAAACAGUUUUCUUAUGGUUAAAGCAUAUGUUCAGCUAGAAUUAAUUGAAUUAUCUUAGCUGUUUAUCCUUAAACUCAGUGACACAGCAUAUAAAAAACCAGAAUAUUAUCUCCUGAUUACUUCUCUUUCUAUUAUAUGCAUUUUUGUUGUUGUUUUUUGUUUGUUUGUUUGUUUGUUUUUUUGAUGGAGUCUCAUUCUGUUGCCCAGGCUGGAGCGUGGCGGUGCAAUCUUGGCUUACUACAACCUCCGCGCCCUGGGUUCAAGCCAUUCUCCUGCCUCAGCCUCCUAAGUAGCUGGGAUUAUAGGUGCCUGCCACCACUCCCAGCUAAUUUUUCUAUUUUUAGUAGAGACAAGGUUUCACCAUCUUGGCCAGGCUGGUCUUGAACUCUUGAGCUCGUGAUCCACCUGCCGUAGCCUACCAAAGUGCUGGGAUUACAGGCGUGAGCCACCACGCCCAGCUGAACUGUGUUAGGUAAAGAAUAUUUUAUGAGUGGUAAAUCUGUUAAUAAUCAUAGAAAAUAAUUAAUCCUAAUGGAUCAGAGAGGUAUUGAGAUGUUUUCUUCCUGAAAGAUGGGUUUCAACCUUCCUUUUCAACUAUCAGUCUUUUUUCUUUUCUUUUCUUUUUCUUUUUUGAGAUGGGGGUCUCACUUUGUUGGCCAGGCUGGAGUGCAGUGGUGCAACCUUGUACCUUGGCUCACUACAACCUCUGCCUCCCAGGUUCAAGUGAUUCUUGUGCCUCAGCCUCCCAAGUAGCUGGGAUUACAGGUGUGUAACACCACACCCAGCCAAUUUUUGUAAUUUUAGUAGAGAUGGGGUGUCACCAUGUUGGCCAGGCUGGUCUCAAACUGCUGACCUCAAGUGAUCCUUCUCCCUGGGCCUCUCAAAGUGCUGAAAUUAUAGGCCUGAGCCACCACACCCAGCCAACUAUGUCUUUCUACAUCUUUCCAUCAACGCAAUGCCCAGAGGAAAAUAAUCAUCAAGACUAUGGUUUGCCAUUGCAUUCUUAUAAUACUUGGGACUCUGAGGACAAGUUUAAAUAUUCAAAAUUAAGUGGUGUACUUAUGUAAUUAUUUUACAGGUGAAUAAUUUAAGUAAAGGUAAAUUUGAAUAUCAUCUAUGAAUGAGCUUAUUAUAAAAACAUUAUUUAAUAGAGUUAAAAUGCUUCGAUCUAUUUUGAUAUUACUUAUUUAAAAGUCCAUAUUUUUGAGUUGGGACUCACAGGUUCUGUUGUUAAAAUAAUGUUGGGAAAUUUCCAGUAAUCUGAAGAGGCAAAAUAUUUGUCCUCAAUAACAUUUGUUAUAAUUUAUUUAACUACAUAUUAUGAACAGCAUACUAGUUAAUAUAAUGCUAGCUGCUGUGACAAAUAAACUCCAAAAUCUCAUAAAGUCCCACAACUGAUGGCAGAGACGGAAAGUAGGCUGGACUCAAUCACUAAUAUUGGGGACCCAGAAUAACAAGAGCUUCCAUCAUCUACACAUCCUUACACCUUGUGCUAUCAGCAUCUCACCAGGAAGAAUUGAGAAGAAAAUGCUCCCUAAGGCUGGGCGUGGUGGCUCACGCCUGUAAUCCCAGAACUUUGGGAGGCUGAGGUGGGCAGAUCACAUGAGGUCAGGAGUUCGAGACCA